GAUGAACGCUGGCGGCGUGCCUAAUACAUGCAAGUCGAGCGAACAGACGAGGAGCUUGCUCCUCUGACGUUAUCGGCGGACGGGUGAGUAACACGUGGAUAACCUACCUAUAAGACUGGGAUAACUUCGGGAAACCGGAGCUAAUACCGGAUAAUAUAUUGAACCGCAUGGUUCAAUAGUGAAAGACGGUUUUGCUGUCACUUAUAGAUGGAUCCGCGCCGCAUUAGCUAGUUGGUAAGGUAACGGCUUACCAAGGCAACGAUGCGUAGCCGACCUGAGAGGGUGAUCGGCCACACUGGAACUGAGAAACGGUACAGACACCUACGGGAGGAAGCAGUAGAGAAUCUUCCGCGAUGGGCGAAAGCUUGACGGAGCAACGCCGCGUGAGUGAUGAAGGUCUUAGGAUCGUAAAACUAUGUUAUUAGGGAAGAACAAAUGUGUAAGUAACUAUGAACGUCUUGACGGUACCUAAUCAGAAAGCCACGGCUAACUACGUG
rnacentral:rRNA from 1 species